CUGGAUUUGAGGUCUCACCCCUCCUAACCAGCUCUGAAAUUUUAGGCAAGGCAACAAGCCUGUCUGUGCUCCAGUUUCCUUACCUAUAAAAUGGGGCUAAUUAUGAUUCCUGGGGGCUUACUGUGAGAACUGCAUGAGUGAAUUACUAAGUACUCAGCCAAUUCUUGGCACAUAGUGAUGCCUGUCAACGUUCAUUAUUCUCACUCUGCCGUGGCCUCAUACGGAUGCAAUGAGGGAGUACAAGAAAGAACACUGACUACAGAAUUCUUCUAGUGCAGGAGAGAUGCUGUUUCCAGAAACAAAGGAUAGAAGAGCUCAUUCCUCCCUCCUCCCCUCUCCCAUAAGCAGUCCCUGCAUUUGGAGGUGGAGAAGCAAUGUCUAAGGAGAUGAUGGCUGUUGAAAUUCAGUGAAGACUGUUCAUAAACAGGAAAUCUUAGAGUGAGAGGACAUAAUUUUCUCCUUCCAAUAUCUCCUUCUGGCUGACUAAGAUAAAAUGGAUAAAUGGCAACGUGCACCAUUUCUUGAGAAGAGAAGCUGUUUCUUUCUCUUCUAUACACCGGCAUCGCCUGACCCACAGUAGGUAUGAAAUAAAUAUUUGCUGGAUGAAUAAAUAUUUGAAUAAAUUUCAGUUUGGUCUGUGAGAAAAUCAAAAUAGCAAAUAAGAGCAGAAUGUUCUGUAUUACUGGUAGCUGUGGCUAAAAACAAAAUUCCACCUUUCUUCUUCCAAAAUUCCUGAGAGCUACUGGGUUGUCACUGUCAAGGCUUAUGUUGCUAUGAAAAUAUGCUUUGCUGGCUUUAUGUUUCUGCCUAUCACCCCUGCCUCCUGUCUCUUAUGGCAUGCAGCAAAUUCAUGGCUUUGACCUUAAGCAGGGUUUAGUUGGGUUUAUAAGAGUACAAAAGCAGAGAGAAAAGGGAGAGAGAGGAGAGGAGAGAGAAGAGGGGAGAAGAGAGGAAGGAGAGGGGAGGAGAAUAGAGUGGAGGAGAGGGAAAGAGAAGGGAGGGAAUGGGAGAGGAGGAGAGGGAAUGAUGCCUGGUACACACUAAUUUUUUUAAAUGCCAACAGACACGGUACCUUUCGUUCUUCCCUCCUCC
rnacentral:lncRNA from 10 species